UGAACGUCGCUGUCUCACCUAGAAUUAACUACCUUCUCCCCCUCACUCAGUCUGGUGUCGGUGUGUGGAGAUGUGGAGGGUCACUUCAAGCAACUGUUAAUAGCAAAGUCCAGAGCAUCCUCUCCAAGAACAAAGAUUUUGAGCUCUGACUGCCAGGAUCUAGGAGGAGUGGAGCAAGUAUCGGGAGGGGGUGGAAAUAGUGCCUCUACCGACUUGGCUCGUGUUCAACUGAGCAUGCCCAGUUCUAUGGAGACUUGUCACGUGAUGGAGGAGAGCUCUGCCCCAAUGUCACAUGUCUAGGUCAGCGUGGAGUGUACAGUGCGUCCAGUGGUCUGAGGGUGGCCUAUCUUAGUGGGAGCUAUACCAACGGAGGAACUAUCAGUAUCAAAUAAGGGAGAUAACCUAUUGUGACAAUAUUUCACUGGCUCACUGGCUCUGAUGUGUCCUGGCUGGAGGGUCAGUGCAGUGGAGAGGGCUACCGUGGAGUGGACAUUCUCCUCACCUCUGAUUGGCCCGGGGCAGUGGACAAGUUCACAGUGGCUCCUGAUGGACCUCUGAGUAAACUGGCCAUGUGUCUCAAGCCUGGCUACCAUUUUGCAGCUCCACACAUCAUCUGAAAAGCAUCUUUCUAAGCUUUCAGAAAGUCAUUUAACGUUAUUAUUUAUACAUUCGUCUUAUAUCUCUCAUUUUUAAUGGCCUCAUUUAAAUCCCUACACAGUAAUACCUCCACAACUUUUGAUGCUAACUGUAUUGUGCUUCAUUUCAUGCAGGAAUCACAAAAUCCUCCAAGGCAAGCCACAUCAUGUGAUACGAUUCUUAAAGUUGGAAAUCCAGACAAGAAGAAAAGAUACCUGUAUGCAUUCUCUGUCACACCCAUGAGCUCCAUGGACGAGAAAAAGCUGACUCAGCAACCACCCACUGCCACCAACUGUCCCUACACUGAACUAGUCAAAUCUUUGGUAAGGAAAACUUACUUUAUUGUAAGUAAUGAAAGCACCGCGGGUGCUGAAUGUGUCAAAGGUACAUAACAUAAAGUAAUACACACAGAUAUCAUAAUGUUUUUACGCUGAAUCUAUAGGAAAACUCAAGGAGUGGGAAAUGAAUUGACUAUGAUUGAUGCUAAAAAGGAUGCCAAAACUUGCGUACACUGGUGUCCCAUACUUCCUGGCAGAGUUUGGAUGAUGGGGAAAAUGUUCAUUUGUUCACCAACUCAUGCACGCAGACUAACAACCAGAUCACUGAAUAAAUAUAGGUUAUAGUAUUUUUCUACUAGCCUCGUUCGCAGGCUUUCUUUUUUCUUACAGUUGUCAUUGUUCAUGCAUAUAAAUAGAAGAUAUAGCCAAAAAUAUUACUGGCACAGA